GUAGUCCAUGCCGUAAACGUUGGGAACUAGGUGUGGGUCUCAUUCCACGAGAUCCGUGCCGCAGCUAACGCAUUAAGUUCCCCGCCUGGGGAGUACGGCCGCAAGGCUAAAACUCAAAGGAAUUGACGGGGGCCCGCACAAGCGGCGGAGCAUGCGGAUUAAUUCGAUGCAACGCGAAGAACCUUACCAAGGCUUGACAUACACCGGACGCAUCCAGAGAUGGGUGUUCCUUCGGGCUGGUGUACAGGUGGUGCAUGGUUGUCGUCAGCUCGUGUCGUGAGAUGUUGGGUUAAGUCCCGCAACGAGCGCAACCCUCGUUCCAUGUUGCCAGCAACACUUCGGUGGUUGGGGACUCAUGGGAGACUGCCGGGGUCAACUCGGA
rnacentral:rRNA from 1 species